rnacentral:rRNA from 1 species
AGGCGAGGGGCGGCAGGCUACACAUGCAGUCGAGCGGUAACAGGGGAAGCUUGCUUCUCGCUGACGAGCGGCGGACGGGUGAGUAAUGUAUGGGGAUCUGCCCGAUAGAGGGGGAUAACUACUGGAAACGGUAGCUAAUACCGCAUAAUCUCUCAGGAGCAAAGCAGGGGAACUUCGGUCCUUGCGCUAUCGGAUGAACCCAUAUGGGAUUAGCUAGUUGGUGGGGUAAUGGCUCACCAAGGCGACGAUCCCUAGCUGGUCUGAGAGGAUGAUCAGCCACACUGGGACUGAGACACGGCCCAGACUCCUACGGGAGGCAGCAGUGGGGAAUAUUGCACAAUGGGCGCAAGCCUGAUGCAGCCAUGCCGCGUGUAUGAAGAAGGCCUUAGGGUUGUAAAGUACUUUCAGUUGGGAGGAAGGCGUUGAUGCUAAUAUCAUCAACGAUUGACGUUACCAACAGAAGAAGCACCGGCUAACUACGUGCCAGCAGCCGCU